UACAGGGGGUGCAAACGUUGCUCGGAAUCAUUGGGCGUAAAGCGCACGUAGGCGGUUCGUUAUGUCGGAUGUGAAAGCCCUUGGCUUAACCGAGGAAGUGCAUCCGAAACUGGCGAGCUAGAGUACGAAAGAGGAUCGCGGAAUUCCCGGUGUAGAGGUGAAAUUCGUAGAUAUCGAGAGGAACACCUGCGGCGAAGGCGGGUAGCUGGGCCGACACUGACGCUGAUGCGCGAAAGCCAGGGGAGCGAACGGG
rnacentral:rRNA from 1 species